rnacentral:rRNA from 1 species
AUUGAACGAUGGCGGCAGGCCUAACACAUGCAAGUCGAGCGGAGCGGCGGACGGGUGAGUAAUGCCUGGGAAUCUGCCUGGUAGUGGGGGAUAACGUCCGGAAACGGGCGCUAAUACCGCAUACUAUCAGAUGAGCCUAGGUCGGAUUCGCUAGUUGGUGGGGUAAAGGCCUACCACGGCGACGAUCCGUAACUGGUCUGAGAGGAUGAUCAGUCACACGGGAACGGAGACACGGUCCAGAUUCCUACGGGAGGCAGCAGUGGGGAAUAGUGGCCAAUGGGCGAAAGCCUGAUCCAGCCAUGCCGCGUGUGGGAUGACGGCCUUCGGGUUGUAAACCGCUUUCAGCCAUGACGCGGUAGUGGCAGAAGAAGCACCGGCUAACUACGUGCCAGCCGCCGCGGUAAUAC